GUGCCUUUGCCGGGGGGGUGUCUGCGUGGGUGCAGCAGGCACCCGCGGCCCCCCGGGGCGAGGGGGGGUGGCGGUGAAUGGGGAGGCCGCCGGUGACCGGGUUUAUGAAUGCGGCGUCAUGUGACGGCGGCGGCGGCCGUCCUCCUAUUCACAAAACAGCGGCGGCGGCCGGGGCGGGGAUCCGCGACGUCGUGUCGUCGUCGUCCCCGUCCCCCCCGCGCCGCUUCCCGAUUCCCCCCCCCUCAAACCCCGGGGGUGCGGGGCGGGGGAAGGGGAACGCACCGCCGCGCCGCCCGCUUCCGCCGCAGGCCGCCCCCGCCGGGCGCCCCGACCCCCCCAGCCGGGGCGGGGAGAGGUGGCGGUGAGGGGUGCUGGGGCGGGGGGGGGGAGGCGCGCCACCCCCCCACCCCUUUCCCCGCACCCCGGCGUCCCCGCGCCUCCCGGGGGUUUUUAUGAAUGAAAAGGCGGUAUGCAAAUGAGCGCGGCCCGGGGGGGAGCGCGAAAUGGCGGAUGCGCGGGCGGGCAGCGCGCACACGUACGCGCGUGUCCGUGUCCCUCUGUCCGCCCGCGGGGGGGGUGGGGGGGGGGGAGGGUUUGAGGGAUCCGCACCGGCUCCCGCCAGGGCAACAAAAGGUGGCCCCCGCCGCCCGCCCGUCGCCCCCGCCCGUCCCCGGCCCCGCUCACUCGUCAGGGCGAUUAAUGCGAUGCCGUGUGCGCAGCGAGGAGUUUGACAGCCCGUUGGUAGAGGAGCUCAGGGAGGCGGCGUUGCCCCCACAGAGCCACGUCCAGAGGUUUCUCACCAGCCUUGGGUUCUUCCCUCCCCAUCUUGCCCUCUACAAGAGCUCAAAUCAAGCCUUGGAGCUGUGCUCAGCAGUGCUACGAGGUGAGCGUGGGCAUGCUGGUAGCAUCACACGGCUAUUUUUGCAGGAACAGAACUGGAAACUUGGAGAAAAAUCUGUGGACUGCUAGUAAUGCGAUGGAGGCAAGAGCUGAUGAAAGCUUUGAGGUCUUCUUUAUGGGAGGUUACCCCCAGGGAGAAGCAGCAUGUCCUCUGGAGAUGGUACCAGAAACUGCAACUUUGGUGGUGUUACACCACUAUAGUAACACACUUGUCAUUGCUAGAGGUUUGGCCAUAACACCAGAUAACGUAUGAGAGUACAAGCCCCCUUCCCUCCCCUUGGCAGCCUGUGGCAUGCUCAUUUGGGUGGCAAUGCUGCCUCUCUCCCCAUCCCCAUCCCCUUCCCACCCAUUCAUUCCUCUGCAAAGCACAGUUUGACACCCCCUCGGCUCUGCAAAUGCAUCCAAUGUUGGGGAGUUGCACUGCUGGAUCUGCUAAAUGGUCCCAGCUAAUAAUACCCCCCAAUACCUCUUUAUUUUGGAAAGUUAUUCAAGGAUCCAACUUGCUGAAUGGCAUGAUAAACAUCUUGGCAAAGCUGAGCUGGCAGCGAAAGGAAGUGUCAGGGCAGGAGUAAGCGGUUGGGGGCAAGGAAAUGGCAGGAACGUCUUCAGCUGCUGUACCGUAAAAGACCAGAUGUAAUGAUUUGACACACUUCCACCCAUCCUAUGUCUUUUUUUUUUUUCCCAAACGACGCUGAGAUUGCACAGACAUCUAACAUCCUUAAAAUCUUUCAUGCCAAAAAUUUCCGUGGUCAGCAGGAGCAUCGAUGCACAUGAAGUGGUGAGCGUGGCAUUUAGCAGUUGGCUACUGCAGAACCAGAAUAAGGGGAAAGUUAUGGCCACGUGAAAAACCCAGUGUGCAAUCAUGUAAUUAAAAGGCCGUUAUAGUGCAUAUACCGCUGAGGAGAACUGGGUAUUAAUCACUGCCUGAUUAAUGCUUGAGAGCUUGACUGUAUGAUCUGGAUGUAUUUUUGUGUACUUGUGUAUGCGUAUAUUUGCCCCAAUGGUGAGAAGCAAACAUGUUUGAGGCUUGGAAGCCGAAGUUUUACUCGAUCUAGUUUCUUGAGUCAUUUCCUGUGGAUU